rnacentral:rRNA from 1 species
CAGCAGCCGCGGGAAUACGUAGGGUGCGAGCGUUAAUCGGAAUUACUGGGCGUAAAGCGUGCGCAGGCGGUUCGUUAAGACAGAUGUGAAAUCCCCGGGCUUAACCUGGGAACUGCAUUUGUGACUGGCGAGCUAGAGUAUGGCAGAGGGGGGUAGAAUUCCACGUGUAGCAGUGAAAUGCGCAGAGAUGUGGAGGAAUACCGAUGGCGAAGGCAGCCCCCUGGGCCAAUACUGACGCUCAUGCACGAAAGCGUGGGGAGCAAACAGGAUUAGAUACCCCCGUAGUCCCUGUCUCUUAUAC